rnacentral:rRNA from 1 species
GCCAUCAGGUCAAGCUGGGGACGUCUAAUGAAACUGCCUACGCAAGUAGUGAGGAAGGUGGGGAGUGACGUCAAAUCAGCACGGCCCUUACGUCCAGGGCUACACACGUGCUACAAUGGCCGGUACAAAGGGCAGCUACCUGGUGACAGGAUGCUAAUCUCAAAAGCCGGUCUCAGUUCGGAUCGGAGUCUGCAACCCGACUCCGUGAAGUUGGAUUCGCUAGUAAUCGCGCAUCAGCCAUGGCGCGGUGAAUACGUUCCCGGGCCUU